UUAUAAUUAAUUUCUAUUAUAAGUAUGUAUAUAUAUAUUAUUAAUUUCUUUUAUAUAGAGAAAACGAACAAGCUUAACAAGGAGAAAAAAAAAUCAUUUGUGGCAUUUGGAGAAUUCAAAUAUUGCGUAUAACAAACAAAUAAGGGAAAUGAAUUUCGAUGACCUCGUGGAAAAAAUGGAUUCCGAAGAGGAAUGCUCACAACCGUUGGGCCCCCAUAGACGUUGUAUUCAAAAUAAAUAUUAUUAUUUUUUUAAUAAUAUUUUUUUACAGAUAAAGUGUUUAAAAAAAUAUCUUACAAUCUCGUUUGCGUCUGGCGGCCAUGCACGUAUAAUAUAUAAUCCAGAAGCUGGAUGCCAUUGAGACCCGUCUCACUACCAUUGAAAAGUCCCUAACAGACAAAAUGCCAGAAAAGGCCGAGGUGCAGGCACAAAGUAAAUUAUUGCGCGAAUGCCGCGUCAUAGCAGCAAAGACGCACCCUUCAAUUAGUCGCAUCACCGGUAACACAGAUGGUGGAAGAUAGUCUGGUAGAUAAGAAGAUACAUUUAUUUAAGAAAACCAGAAGAUAUGUAAAAUUAAGAUAUGAGAAGAAACACUGAUCUUAAAUAAAUAUUAAAUGCAAAUGCAGCCACAUGAUAGCAAUAAAGGAUAAGCAGCACUGUGGAAUUUUCCCACAAAAAUGAAUUUUUGUAAAUUAGAAGAUAAGUAUUUUUGUAAAACUAUAAAAGCAAGAAAAUCUUUGAAAUAAAGAGACACAUUUAUACUGCCACUCUAAAGAGCCGGUCGUCUAAAAUUGUUUCGUAAUUGGCGCAGUCGGUAAACGUCUAACAUAAUCUUAAGAUUGGUCAAACGGGUCGCUCGGAUUUUCCGAAGAAAAUCCACACAUAAAAAAAGAGAAAAAAAAACAAAAUCGAUUUUAAAAAUAAAAAAUAAGGCGUUGCCGAGGCCUUAAAACAGUUUUUAUAAAAAAAAGAAGAAAAUUCGAACAUCACCAUGGCAACUAUUAACAGCUCCGAGCUCCUGAAGGAAGCUUCGAGAAUAAGGCCAUUCAACGGAAGUGAUGGUUACGACCUAUCCUCAUUUAUAAGAGAAGUGGAUGCCAUACUCCGUCUCUUUAACGAUAACCCAUCGUUAAAGGAAUUUGUUAUUCAACGCUACAUACUAACGAAAAUAAAUGGAGACGCUCUGAACGUAGUCCGACCUUUAGGAAGCACACCGAUGUGGGACGACAUAAAGGGGGAACUCAUCCGGAACUUCGGGGUAAAGGAGAGCUACAGGAGUCUGUACCACCAGGAAAUCAACAUUAAGC